rnacentral:rRNA from 1 species
ACAACUUGUAAUUGCUCCCAUGGUCGCCCACUGAAGCUAAGCAGGGUUGCUCCCAGUCAGUACCUGAAUGGGAGACCACAUGGGAAAACUAGGUUGCUGAC